rnacentral:misc_RNA from 1 species
CAACCCAUCAAGCCCUAUUUUUGCUUGGCGUUGGGAGAACGCGGGGCCCUGGAGCCCCGCGCCUCCUCAAAUCCAUCGGCGGAGUCGUAGCGACCCAAGCGUAGUAAUUUUUCUCGCUUCAGGUGUUUUGCUGCAGGCGUUUAGCCGCUAAACCCCUUAUUCUUUUUAG